rnacentral:rRNA from 3 species
GGGUUGUGAGGUUAAGCGACUAAGCGUACACGGUGGAUGCCCUGGCAGUCAGAGGCGAUGAAGGGCGUGCUAAUCUGCGAUAAGCGCCGGUAAGGUGAUAUGAACCGUUAUAACCGGCGAUACCCGAAUGGGGAAACCCAGUGUGACUCGUCACACUAUCAUUAACUGAAUCCAUAGGUUAAUGAGGCGAACCGGGGGAACUGAAACAUCUAAGUACCCCGAGGAAAAGAAAUCAACCGAGAUUCCCCCAGUAGCGGCGAGCGAACGGGGAGGAGCCCAGAGCCUGAAUCAGCAUGUGUGUUAGUGGAAGCGUCUGGAAAGGCGCGCGAUACAGGGUGACAGCCCCGUACACAAAAGCGCAUGUGCUGUGAGCUCGAUGAGUAGGGCGGGACACGUGGUAUCCUGUCUGAAUAUGGGGGGACCAUCCUCCAAGGCUAAAUACUCCUGACUGACCGAUAGUGAACCAGUACCGUGAGGGAAAGGCGAAAAGAACCCCGGCGAGGGGAGUGAAAAAGAACCUGAAACCGUGUACGUACAAGCAGUGGGAGCACAGGUUUACCUGUGUGACUGCGUACCUUUUGUAUAAUGGGUCAGCGACUUAUAUUCUGUAGCAAGGUUAACCGAAUAGGGGAGCCGGAGGGAAACCGAGUCUUAAUUGGGCGUUAAGUUGCAGGGUAUAGACCCGAAACCCGGUGAUCUAGCCAUGGGCAGGUUGAAGGUUGGGUAACACUAACUGGAGGACCGAACCGACUAAUGUUGAAAAAUUAGCGGAUGACCUGUGGCUGGGGGUGAAAGGCCAAUCAAACCGGGAGAUAGCUGGUUCUCCCCGAAAGCUAUUUAGGUAGCGCCUCGUGAAUUCAUCUCCGGGGGUAGAGCACUGUUUCGGCUAGGGGGCCAUCCCGGCUUACCAACCCGAUGCAAACUGCGAAUACCGGAGAAUGUUAUCACGGGAGACACACGGCGGGUGCUAACGUCCGUCGUGAAGAGGGAAACAACCCAGACCGCCAGCUAAGGUCCCAAAGUCAUGGUUAAGUGGGAAACGAUGUGGGAAGGCCCAGACAGCCAGGAUGUUGGCUUAGAAGCAGCCAUCAUUUAAAGAAAGCGUAAUAGCUCACUGGUCGAGUCGGCCUGCGCGGAAGAUGUAACGGGGCUAAACCAUGCACCGAAGCUGCGGCAGCGAACGUAUCACUUAAAGCGAUUCAGCGGGUUACGAUUGACGGAGCGAAGCGACGUCAAAGCGUAUACAAAGUCGAGUCGGUUUAAGGAUACGUUCGUUGGGUAGGGGAGCGUUCUGUAAGCCUGUGAAGGUGUGCUGUGAGGCAUGCUGGAGGUAUCAGAAGUGCGAAUGCUGACAUAAGUAACGAUAAAGCGGGUGAAAAGCCCGCUCGCCGGAAGACCAAGGGUUCCUGUCCAACGUUAAUCGGGGCAGGGUGAGUCGACCCCUAAGGCGAGGCCGAAAGGCGUAGUCGAUGGGAAACGGGUUAAUAUUCCCGUACUUGGUGUUACUGCGAAGGGGGGACGGAGAAGGCUAUGUUGGCCGGGCGACGGUUGUCCCGGUUUAAGCGUGUAGGUGUGUGUUCCAGGUAAAUCCGGUUCACUUUAACACUGAGGCGUGACGACGAGGCACUACGGUGCUGAAGCAACAAAUGCCCUGCUUCCAGGAAAAGCCUCUAAGCAUCAGGUAACAUCAAAUCGUACCCCAAACCGACACAGGUGGUCAGGUAGAGAAUACCAAGGCGCUUGAGAGAACUCGGGUGAAGGAACUAGGCAAAAUGGUGCCGUAACUUCGGGAGAAGGCACGCUGACACGUAGGUGAAGUGAUUUACUCAUGGAGCUGAAGUCAGUCGAAGAUACCAGCUGGCUGCAACUGUUUAUUAAAAACACAGCACUGUGCAAACACGAAAGUGGACGUAUACGGUGUGACGCCUGCCCGGUGCCGGAAGGUUAAUUGAUGGGGUCAGCGCAAGCGAAGCUCCUGAUCGAAGCCCCGGUAAACGGCGGCCGUAACUAUAACGGUCCUAAGGUAGCGAAAUUCCUUGUCGGGUAAGUUCCGACCUGCACGAAUGGCGUAAUGAUGGCCAGGCUGUCUCCACCCGAGACUCAGUGAAAUUGAACUCGCUGUGAAGAUGCAGUGUACCCGCGGCAAGACGGAAAGACCCCGUGAACCUUUACUAUAGCUUGACACUGAACAUUGAGCCUUGAUGUGUAGGAUAGGUGGGAGGCUUUGAAGUGUGGACGCCAGUCUGCAUGGAGCCGGCCUUGAAAUACCACCCUUUAAUGUUUGAUGUUCUAACGUGGACCCGUGAUCCGGGUUGCGGACAGUGUCUGGUGGGUAGUUUGACUGGGGCGGUCUCCUCCUAAAGAGUAACGGAGGAGCACGAAGGUUGGCUAAUCCUGGUCGGACAUCAGGAGGUUAGUGCAAUGGCAUAAGCCAGCUUGACUGCGAGCGUGACGGCGCGAGCAGGUGCGAAAGCAGGUCAUAGUGAUCCGGUGGUUCUGAAUGGAAGGGCCAUCGCUCAACGGAUAAAAGGUACUCCGGGGAUAACAGGCUGAUACCGCCCAAGAGUUCAUAUCGACGGCGGUGUUUGGCACCUCGAUGUCGGCUCAUCACAUCCUGGGGCUGAAGUAGGUCCCAAGGGUAUGGCUGUUCGCCAUUUAAAGUGGUACGCGAGCUGGGUUUAGAACGUCGUGAGACAGUUCGGUCCCUAUCUGCCGUGGGCGCUGGAGAACUGAGGGGGGCUGCUCCUAGUACGAGAGGACCGGAGUGGACGCAUCACUGGUGUUCGGGUUGUCAUGCCAAUGGCACUGCCCGGUAGCUAAAUGCGGAAGAGAUAAGUGCUGAAAGCAUCUAAGCACGAAACUUGCCCCGAGAUGAGUUCUCCCUGAGACUUUAGGUCUCCUGAAGGAACGUUGAAGACGACGACGUUGAUAGGCCGGGUGUGUAAGCGCAGCGAUGCGUUGAGCUAACCGGUACUAAUGAACCGUGAGGCUUAACCUUACAACGCCGAAG